rnacentral:rRNA from 1 species
UACGUAGGGGGCAAGCGUUGUCCGGAUUUAUUGGGCGGAAAGAGCGUGUAGGCGGCCAGGUAGGUCCGUUGUGAAAACUGGAGGCUUAACCUCCAGCUGUCGAUGGAAACCAUCUGGCUAGAGUCCGGAAGAGGAGAGUGGAAUUCCUGGUGUAGCGGUGAAAUGCGCAGAUAUCAGGAAGAACACCCGUGGCGAAGGCGGCUCUCUGGGACGGUACUGACGCUGAGACGCGAAAGCGUGGGGAGCGAACAGG